rnacentral:rRNA from 1 species
UACGGAGGGGGCUAGCGUUGUUCGGAAUUAUUGGGCGUAAAGAGCUCGUAGGCGGUUUGUCGCGUCUGCUGUGAAAUCUGGGGGCUCAACCCCCAGCCUGCAGUGGGUACGGGCAGGCUCGAGUUCGGUAGGGGAGACUGGAAUUCCUGGUGUAGCGGUGAAAUGCGCAGAUAUCAGGAGGAACACCGGUGGCGAAGGCGGGUCUCUGGGCCGAUACUGACGCUGAGGAGCGAAAGCGUGGGGAGCGAACAGG